rnacentral:rRNA from 1 species
UGAAUAUGGGGGGACCAUCCUCCAAGGCUAAAUACUCCUGACUGACCGAUAGUGAACCAGUACCGUGAGGGAAAGGCGAAAAGAACCCCGGCGAGGGGAGUGAAAAAGAACCUGAAACCGUGUACGUACAAGCAGUGGGAGCCUCUUUAUGGGGUGACUGCGUACCUUUUGUAUAAUGGGUCAGCGACUUAUAUUCUGUAGCAAGGUUAACCGAAUAGGGGAGCCGAAGGGAAACCGAGUCUUAACUGGGCGUUAAGUUGCAGGGUAUAGACCCGAAACCCGGUGAUCUAGCCAUGGGCAGGUUGAAGGUUGGGUAACACUAACUGGAGGACCGAACCGACUAAUGUUGAAAAAUUAGCGGAUGACUUGUGGCUGGGGGUGAAAGGCCAAUCAAACCGGGAGAUAGCUGGUUCUCCCCGAAAGCUAUUUAGGUAGCGCCUCGUGAAUUCAUCUCCGGGGGUAGAGCACUGUUUCGGCAAGGGGGUCAUCCCGACUUACCAACCCGAUGCAAACUGCGAAUACCGGAGAAUGUUAUCACGGGAGACACACGGCGGGUGCUAACGUCCGUCGUGAAGAGGGAAACAACCCAGACCGCCAGCUAAGGUCCCAAAGUCAUGGUUAAGUGGGAAACGAUGUGGGAAGGCCCAGACAGCCAGGAUGUUGGCUUAGAAGCAGCCAUCAUUUAAAGAAAGCGUAAUAGCUCACUGGUCGAGUCGGCCUGCGCGGAAGAUGUAACGGGGCUAAACCAUGCACCGAAGCUGCGGCAGCGACGCUUAUGCGUUGUUGGGUAGGGGAGCGUUCUGUAAGCCUGUGAAGGUGUGCUGUGAGGCAUGCUGGAGGUAUCAGAAGUGCGAAUGCUGACAUAAGUAACGAUAAAGCGGGUGAAAAGCCCGCUCGCCGGAAGACCAAGGGUUCCUGUCCAACGUUAAUCGGGGCAGGGUGAGUCGACCCCUAAGGCGAGGCCGAAAGGCGUAGUCGAUGGGAAACAGGUUAAUAUUCCUGUACUUGGUGUUACUGCGAAGGGGGGACGGAGAAGGCUAUGUUGGCCGGGCGACGGUUGUCCCGGUUUAAGCGUGUAGGCUGGUUUUCCAGGCAAAUCCGGAAAAUCAAGGCUGAGGCGUGAUGACGAGGCACUACGGUGCUGAAGCAACAAAUGCCCUGCUUCCAGGAAAAGCCUCUAAGCAUCAGGUAACAUCAAAUCGUACCCCAAACCGACACAGGUGGUCAGGUAGAGAAUACCAAGGCGCUUGAGAGAACUCGGGUGAAGGAACUAGGCAAAAUGGUGCCGUAACUUCGGGAGAAGGCACGCUGAUAUGUAGGUGAAGUCCCUCGCGGAUGGAGCUGAAAUCAGUCGAAGAUACCAGCUGGCUGCAACUGUUUAUUAAAAACACAGCACUGUGCAAACACGAAAGUGGACGUAUACGGUGUGACGCCUGCCCGGUGCCGGAAGGUUAAUUGAUGGGGUCAGCGCAAGCGAAGCUCUUGAUCGAAGCCCCGGUAAACGGCGGCCGUAACUAUAACGGUCCUAAGGUAGCGAAAUUCCUUGUCGGGUAAGUUCCGACCUGCACGAAUGGCGUAAUGAUGGCCAGGCUGUCUCCACCCGAGACUCAGUGAAAUUGAACUCGCUGUGAAGAUGCAGUGUACCCGCGGCAAGACGGAAAGACCCCGUGAACCUUUACUAUAGCUUGACACUGAACAUUGAGCCUUGAUGUGUAGGAUAGGUGGGAGGCUUGGAAGUGUGGACGCCAGUCUGCAUGGAGCCGACCUUGAAAUACCACCCUUUAAUGUUUGAUGUUCUAACGUUGACCCGUAAUCCGGGUUGCGGACAGUGUCUGGUGGGUAGUUUGACUGGGGCGGUCUCCUCCUAAAGAGUAACGGAGGAGCACGAAGGUUGGCUAAUCCUGGUCGGACAUCAGGAGGUUAGUGCAAUGGCAUAAGCCAGCUUGACUGCGAGCGUGACGGCGCGAGCAGGUGCGAAAGCAGGUCAUAGUGAUCCGGUGGUUCUGAAUGGAAGGGCCAUCGCUCAACGGAUAAAAGGUACUCCGGGGAUAACAGGCUGAUACCGCCCAAGAGUUCAUAUCGACGGCGGUGUUUGGCACCUCGAUGUCGGCUCAUCACAUCCUGGGGCUGAAGUAGGUCCCAAGGGUAUGGCUGUUCGCCAUUUAAAGUGGUACGCGAGCUGGGUUUAGAACGUCGUGAGACAGUUCGGUCCCUAUCUGCCGUGGGCGCUGGAGAACUGAGGGGGGCUGCUCCUAGUACGAGAGGACCGGAGUGGACGCAUCACUGGUGUUCGGGUUGUCAUGCCAAUGGCACUGCCCGGUAGCUAAAUGCGGAAGAGAUAAGUGCUGAAAGCAUCUAAGCACGAAACUUGCCCCGAGAUGAGUUCUCCCUGACUCCUUGAGAGUCCUGAAGGAACGUUGAAGACGACGACGUUGAUAGGC